AGGGAUGAAAGAUAAACAAAAUGACUG
rnacentral:piRNA from 1 species